UUCUAUGCGGCUCUAUGGGGCUCUAUGGGAUUCCAUGGGGCUCUAUGGGGCUCUAUGGGGCUGUAUGGGGCUCUAUGGGCUUCUAUGGGCUUCUAUGAGGAUCUAUGGGGAUCUAUGGAAUUCUAUGGGGCUCUAUGGGGAUCUAUGGGGCUCUAUGGGGCUCUAUGGGAUUCUAUGGGGCUCUAUGGGGCUCUAUGGGAUUCUACGGGGCUCUAUGGGGCUCUAUGGGACCCACCAGGACCCCGACCCCAUAGAGGAGCCCUAAAGCCCCGCAGCCCUGCCCCCAACAUCCUAUGGGCUUCUAUGGGGAUCUAUGGGGCUCUACUGGGGCUCUAUGGGAUUCUAUGAGGCUCUAUGGGGCUCUAUGGGAUCCACCAGGACGCCGACCCCAUAGAGGAGCCCUACCCCCAACAUCCUAUGGGGCUCUACUGGGGUUCUAUGGGAUCUAUGGGGCUCUAUGGGGCUCUAUGGGGCUCUAUGGGCUUCUAUGGGACUCUAUGCGAUCUAUGGGCUCUAUGGGGCUCUAUGGGGCUGUAUUGGGGUUCUAUGGGAUUCUAUGGGUCUAUGAUUCUAUCCCCAUCUCAUACCCCACACCCCCAGCCCCCACCCCACUCCAAUAUCCCACCCCACAUCCAUCCCAUACCCCACCUCCCCAUCCCACACCCCACACCCCAUAUCCCCCAUCCUACCCCACAUCCCACCCCAAUAU
rnacentral:lncRNA from 1 species